GAUAAGGGAAUAAAAGCAGGCUGCCCGAGCUAGGGGCACAACUGGGUUGGGUCCUCUUCCACGUUGUGCAGGCUUUGUUCUUUCGCUCUUUGCAAUAAAUCUUGCUGCUGCUUACUCUUUGGGUCUGCACUGCUUUUAUGAGCUAUAACACUCACCGCGAAGGUCUGCAGCUUCACUCCUGAGGCCAGUGAGACCACAAACCACCAGGAGGAAUGAACAACUCCAGACACGCUGCCUUAAGAGCUGUAACACUCACCACGAAGGUCUGCAGCUUCACUCCUGAAGCCAGCGAGACCACAAACCCACCAGAAGGAAAAAACUCUGAACACAUCCAAACAUGAGAAGGAACAAACUCCGGACACACCAUCUUUAAGAACUGUAACACUCACCACAAGUGUCCGCAGCUUCAUUCAUGAAGUCAGUGAGACCAAGAACCCACCAAUUUUGGACACAGUUUUACUUAUAGUUCCCAUUACAGGAAUUGUCUUAGUCAAAUCAGAAUUCAUUUUUAAUGUAUUUCCUGGUCGUCACAGGCAAGGUAGUCCCUGGACCAGCAGUAUCAGCAACACUACUUGGGAACUUGUGAAAAAUGAUAUUCUGGGUUCCUGUCUGAGGUCUACUGAAUCAGAAACUAGGUAUGAGUGUAUGGUACUCUGUGCCUUAACAAGCCCUCUAGUUGAUUCUGACACUAAAGUUUGAGACCCCCUGCUUUGUAUCUUCUACAGUCCUCAGUGGACUCUUGAGUGCUGGCAUCUCUCAUUGCAGUGUGAGCCUGUGGCUCAGCGCUCCUCUGACUUAGAGAGUUGUUCCCUCUGCAUGGACUGCGUUGGCCUCUGAAGUUUAGGUUCACCUCCCCAACAAACGAGGGAGAUGUUGGGAAUCUAUAAUGCUCACUUAUAUUUAUAUUCUUAACUGCUGCGUAACUGUGGCCAUGCUUGGUGCCUGAUGGGAAUGUAAAUUAAAUUAACCCAGCUUGAUCCAAGUUAGAGUUGAUAUCAUCACCAGUCUUCAAACCUAGACCGAUAUUUUGUGUUCCAAAUCAGUGCAGUGAUAGUCUGAAAGAGCAAACAAACCAAAAACAAUUCUACUGAUGAAUUGUCCUUUAUAUAUGACUGACAGUCCACAAGAUUUAUCUGGCUAAUCUGGAUCUCUGGAUAAUGAAAUCAACACUUUAGAUUUUGACCUGAAUAAUUUACUUUAAUAUUUAACAAACAGGAGUCAGUCACUCAUUGAUGAUUCACCAAAACCAGCAUCAUUCUUAGUAUUUGAGAUUUCGGAGGAUAUUGUUUUUAUCCUGACCAGUAAAUCUAAGAAGUUAGCAUGUGAUUCAUAGGAACCAUUGGUCUUUUGAAAGGGCCACUGUAUAAACUUUAAGAAUUGCUGUUUGAAGUCAUCAUAUGUCUUAAGCAGCAUUUUAUAUAUAUGUAUAUAUAUACACAUAUGUGUAUAUAUGUAUAUUUGUAUAUAUGUAUAAAUGUAUAUAUGUAUAUAUACGUAUAUAUGUGUGUGUAUAUAUGUAUGUAUAUAGGUGUGUGUGUGUGUGUGUAAAUUCAAUUUUUGUGUCUUCUUCUGCAAUAGCUGUCCCCUUCAAACGACUAUUUAUCCCAUACAAAUGUAAUAUUCCAGGGAGUGAAGAUGCCUGCUGAGAAAACAUAAAUGUUCUUUUAAGCCCUGAAAAUAUAUAACCUAAAUCUGAAAUGUCACUAAAGCAAGAAUGUUCAAUACUGCCACUAAUGGGUAAACUAAUGGGUAAAUUUAAAUGCGAAGUGAGAAUGCAGCUGAAGGAAGAAAUGGCCUUUCUAAGAGCCUAAGUCAAAAGCAAAAUCAAACGUUUCCCCAAAAUUGUCCUCAUUCUCUACGUGUAAAUACAAAUGCUUGGUAGUCUUGUGUGAUGACGCUUCCCACGGGGUAAGCUUCAGUACCCCAGUGACAUCAUUAACAUAUCGGUGGUAGUUUUACUUGCAUUUACAUUUUCAGUUGCACUUUGACAACUAAAAGGUUGUCAAAUCUUAAAGGUGAGUUUUCAAUGUUAAAAGAUUGAGGAAAUCAUCUAAAUUGCCAAAUUGUAGAGAGUAGUCCAUAGACUUUGAAAAUGGGAAAUUACUUAUGUGUGCAUUUGUCCCUAGCUAGUAUUACCAUUUGUCUUCCACAUCUGUUUACUGAAAAAUUAUAGUCUAACCUUCAGAAAGCACACAAGGCGAAGCUGGUUUACUCUGAUUUUUUGAAACAAUUAAUUUUAAUUUAACUGGGAUAGUCUUAGGAAAUGUUUAUGAAACAUUUCAUGUUAUAACAUGAUUUAAAAAUAAUAAUUUUACUCAGCACACUGAGGCAAACGGCUAAGAGUAAUUUCAGCUACCCCAGACUCCGACCACUGACCACCCCUGGCAUCACACAGGCACGUUUGUUACCUAUUUGUUCCAUACCAAGUUGUAUGCACUCCAGUUGUUAGAUUUUGCUCUAGCGUUCUUGUUAAUCUGUAAUUCUUGGAAUAAAUUACAGAAUAAUAAUAAUAAGAGAAAGAAAAAGGGAGAGAGGGAAAAAGACGGAAGCACAGAAGGAGAGAAGGGUAAAGAGACAAAAAGGAAAUGUUAAAAAGAAGAGACAGAGGAGGGCAAAAGUAACGAUAUUACAGAAAGGGAAACAUAUCAAAAGUAAAAUUGAUGGUCAAAGCCGAAAGACCCAAAUUUAAAUUUAAAUAUAAGCUGAAAGACCUACAUUUAAAAAAAAGAGUAAAGAUACAAAGCAAGAAAAAGCAGACAGGUUCACAAACAAAUCAACUAUUAUUAUAAGAACAUUAAUUUACAGGGAAAAAAAUUUAAGGAGUUAUGAAUAAUUAUAGGUGGUACAAAGAGAUAGACAUUAAAAAUAAAUAUGAGCAUUAUACCUCCUUUUUCUUUAGCUUUCAUUUUUUCUGAUUAUUCAAGAAGACAUACAUUUUCAGUUUAAUAUAUGUCUUUCACACUUUUUAAAAAUUUUUUCACUUUCUUUUUUAACAAAGAAAGAGCAGAGCUUUUGGCCUUUAGGUAGAACUCAAUACCAUUAUUUUGUUAUUCAAUAAAAUUACUUUUACCAUUAACUUCUAUGUUACCCAACUGGCACAAGAACAAUAGAAUCUUAGAAAUCUGGUCUUGCCCAAAUUGUACAUGGCAUGCUUUUUUAAAUUUCUGAACUAAACCUUAAAAAAUACGUUUCCCUAGAGUUGCAUCACUCUUAGAACCAAAAUGAACAUUGGAAAACAGGACUCUGCUCUCUCUCUCUCGUAAUGAAAAUAAACUUAAAUACAUCACCUUGAUUGUUACAAGUUUUCUUAAAAAUCAUCAUCAAAUUAUAUAAAAACAUCCAAUUUUCAAAAAAGAAAAAGCAAAAUUCUUUGGUCUCCACAUUUGUAGGAGUGUGUGUGUGUGUGUGUGUGUGUGUGUUUCAUGCUAUGAACAUAUUUAUGACUAAAAGCCAAGUAAAAACCAUGCUUACCAAGGCUGCUUAAUGAAGAGUGAAACAUCUUGACUUCUACAGUGUCUGACCACAUUCCCUUGAAGUAAAAGCAAUGCCGUUUAAAUAUUAAACCACUGGCCGCUAGCACUUGAGGCUAGCACUUAAAUAUGGCUAGUCCAAACUGAGAUGUGCUGUAUCAAGUAGUGAUAUCAAUAAUUUAAUUGAAAAAAGAAUGUAAUAAUUUUGUAUAGAUUAAUCGUCAAAAUGAUAAAAUUUGGGAUACAGUUAUUUAAAUAAAACAUUCAAAUUAAUUUCACUUUUUAAACAUAGGUAUAAUGAAAGUUUUGUUUAUAUACAUAGUUUGCAUUAUAUUUCUGUUGGACAAUACUGUUCUAGAAGCUGUCACCAACAAAUUUAGCAAUGUAAGGGUUACUAAUGACGUUGUGGAGAAUAUAUUUUUGUGAACAUUUUUUCACAAUUUUGUACGUAAUUAUGGAUCUGUUCUAGUUUUCUGCACCACCUUGAAUUAUGUUUUAUAAUAUAUAUUUUUCUAGAAAAUCAUUAGUUUCAAGAAUUUUUGAAACACUUAUUAGGUAUAACUUGUAUAUAAUAUCCUCAUAAAUUUUUGUUGUUUUCUGGACCACUAGUUAUAUUUGUAAUGUUGAAUUAUGUACGUGGAGUUUCUACUUUUAUCCUUUAUUUGGAAUUAGUGUAUUAUUUUUAUUGCUUUCUGUUUUCUAUUUUAAGAAUUUAUCAUUUUACAUUAACUAAUAUCUUCUAUUUCAUAGUGCUUUCGCUAAUUUCUAAAAUUCAAUUCUUAUUUUCUUUUUGUUGCUUAACAGUAAAAAGCAACAAGACAAUAAAUCAAUGUGAUACACCUUUUGCAGCAUGGCAUAAAAUUUUUAAUCUUCAAUGGUUUCUUUGUCAUUAUCUACCAAAGAGAAUAUAGUUUCUUCUUGAUUUCUAUUUUUCUUGAGAGUUUAGGAUUUCCUUUAAACUUCAAAUGUAUAAGGGUUUUCUGGUUAAAUAUUUUAAAAUUUGUCUUUAUGGUGUUCAGAAUGGUAAGUGUAAACUGUACAGUAUCUACUUUGAGAAAUUUAAGAUAUUGGUUUUAAUAACCUAGAAUAUAAAUAAUCAACAUUCAUUUUAAAAUCUGUAUAUCCUCUGCAACAUACAAAAUUUUAUAUUUACAUAUUACAUAUAGCCUAUUGAUUUCAUACUUCAAAAUUUUUAAAUCCUUGUUUUUAUUUUCAGUCUAUACCAAUGCCUAGGAGAAAAUGUCUCCUUAUAUUCAAAACGGAUUGCUUGUUUCACCAGAAGGGAUAAUCUUAUUGCAUGCUUGAAUGAGAUGCUUCUUUCUUUCUUGUGCUGUUUGUCAAUUAAAAAGUAGUUUGUCUUAAUUCAGUGGCAGCCAUCUUGGAAUCAUAAGGAAAACUAACUUGUGCAAAAACUGAUACUACAGUAGUUCAGCAAAACAGAGAGGUAAAUAGAAUUGGAUGGAUGAUGAAAGCAAUAAGUCACAAAGACAACUAAUACUAGAAGUCUUUCGACCUCUAGGAUUUUAGGUUGGUAACAUAUACUAUUUUUGCAUAUUAUGUAAAUCUAAUUUCAUUUAUAUCCCUAUUACAACAGAAGACAUCCCUGACUUGUUAACAAUUCUCUCUCUGCUUCUCACUCAAGACAAUGUUAAGGGUAGGCACAAGUUAAAUAAGUAAUAGUUUGCUACAUAUGUUAAAAUUGCUACAAUCACUAUUAUCUUGAGAAGUAGAAACACUAAUAUUUCUAAGUGCUUCUCAUCUCUAGGCAGGGAUAUAGAUGGUUAAUGCAUGGAAGAUAACAUCCAUGUGAAACUAUUCAACUUUUGGCAUGUUUAAGAAUAAACGGUGUGACAAACGGUGCAUCUGUAAUUUCUCAGACAUGCUAGUGAACAUAUGCCCAAAUUAAACUCAAAUUAUUUUUCUCAUCUUUUAUCCAUGAGUCAAAUUCUUCCCGAACACCCUCUUGGACAUAUUCCAAAGGUAAAGCUAACUAGAUCACAUCUUUCUCUGCCUCUGAUUUCUAGGCAUUCAGUUAUAGGUGGCCUUUAAAAUUAUAAUAUUAUAUUAAUAUAAUAUAGUGGAAGCUCUAUUACAAGGCAACCAAAAGAACAUAUUCUUUGUCAACUUUAACUCUGCUUAAUAUAUAUUCAGCAUUAUCUCCUUUUACUUAUACAGGUGAAAGAAUAAAAGGUUUGUAUAGUUCCGCAGUCUCAUUUCGGUUUUCUUGCAACUCAAUAUAUUUUUCUUCAAGUCCAUCCCUAGGACAAAGAGGGUUGGGUUCUCUCAACCAGCGUACCUGGCCAAGGUAAUUGCACUUGAAAUGACACCUCCCUUUUAGAAACUUUCAAAGACUCCUUGAUAUAUUCUCAAAAACAAAAAUACCACAAUUGAACUUUAAUGCUUAUAUCUACAUACUUCUAAAGCAUUAACUAACUCAUUUUAUUUCCAGUAACCUAUCUUUCUAUUGAAGAUUGUAUUUUCCAAAGAUGAUCAUUGUGAGCUCUUGGAGUUGGCUCCUGUGUCCUUUCGAUAUAUCUUACUAUUAUCUUUAUUAUUAUUAUUAGGAACUUGAUUUUCUGGCACUAUAUGAUGCUCCAGAUUCAUUUUGUACAUUUUACACCACAGCCCUAGAAUAAGCAUUUCUCUGAGGAACUCUGGUUUGUUUUUAUUUUUGUUUUGUUUUGGAAGUUAGUACUAGAAAGCAACAUUUGGACCCUAGCUGUAUUUGUUGAUACUGGGGUGUCAUCAAUUCUAGGCUUUCUUAGCUGACAGAAUAAGAAAAUAGAUAUUUGUAUACUAACCCAUGUGUUUACAUAUGUCUAUUAGUCUGCACACAAAUGCACACACACACACAUAUACACCACACAUAUAUAUCCAUCCAUAUCAAUAUUAUCUAUAUUAAGCUAAACAUAAGUUUACACUAAUAUCUCCAACUCUAAAUCAUUACCCCAGGGAUCAUUAUGGCGUUCUUGCUUAUUUAUAAAUCCCCACCCCAACAGGGAUAAACACAGCUCCCACCAGCUGUCAUUUACUCACUUAAUUGUUCAAUUCCAGUAUAUACAUAUCACAGAAUGAUAAUAAAUAAUUCACCUAUAAUCCCACGGGAAAUUACUUAUUCAUCCACACUACAGUAUUUGUGUACUGCUACAUUUUUGGGGGUGUUUUGGCUUUGCUUGUGGUUUUUAUUUAUUUAUUUUUUGCCUUUUGUCUUAGGCACUCCAUUCAUUUCUAAAUUUACUGAGAUCAGCAUCUUCCUCACACCUGCCUGUCUUCAUCCGGGUUUUUUAAUACACUUGUAUUAUAAUUAGUUUGUUUUUUUCAUAUUCUGUAUUCCACCCUGGAAUCCUUUGAUCUACCAAAUGAUAUUGGCAAAAUUUGCAUACAUUAAAGUUUACUCUUUGUGCUAUAUAUAAAGUUCUAUGAGUUUCGGCAAAUGUAUAGUGUCAUGUGUUCACCAUUACAGUGCUAUACACAGGUUUACCAACCUAAGAAGUCCCUGUGCAUUAACUUUUCAACCCUGCCCCGCUCCUCACAAACUCUUGGCAGCUAGUAAUUUUUUUAAUGAUCUCUGUCAUUUUGCCUUUUCCAGAAUGGUUGUAUAAUUGGAAUCAGAUGCUGUGUAGGUUUUUAGACUAGCUUCAUUUACUUAGCAAUAUGCAUUUCGGAUUCAUCCAUGAUAUUUUGAGGCUUGAUAGCUCAUUUCUUUUUAUUGCUGAAUAACAUGUCAUUGUAUUGAUGUCCAUCCAUCAAUGUUUAUUUCCAAACAAUUGUAUUGAUGUCCAUGCAUCAGUGUUUAUUUCCAUGCAAAGUGUAUUACUGUUACUUGGCCGCUUCCAGUUUGGGGUAAUUAUGAAUAAAACUGCUAUAAACAUUUGUAUCAAGGGUUUUGUGUGGACACAGUUUUCAAAAUAAUUGAAUAAAUA
rnacentral:lncRNA from 10 species